rnacentral:rRNA from 1 species
CGAGAGAUCGUAUCCUUCAGUUCGGCUGGAUCGGAGACAGGUGCUGCAUGGCUGUCGUCAGCUCGUGUCGUGAGAUGUUGGGUUAAGUCCCGCAACGAGCGCAACCCUCGCCCUUAGUUGCCAGCAUUCAGUUGGGCACUCUAAGGGGACUGCCGGUGAUAAGCCGAGAGGAAGGUGGGGAUGACGUCAAGUCCUCAUGGCCCUUACGGGCUGGGCUACACACGUGCUACAAUGGUGGUGACAGUGGGCAGCGAGACCGCGAGGUCGAGCUAAUCUCCAAAAGCCAUCUCAGUUCGGAUUGCACUCUGCAACUCGAGUGCAUGAAGUUGGAAUCGCUAGUAAUCGCAGAUC